rnacentral:rRNA from 1 species
GACGAACGCUGGCGGCGUGCUUAACACAUGCAAGUCGAGCGGAAAGGCCCUUCGGGGUACUCGAGCGGCGAACGGGUGAGUAACACGUGAGUAACCUGCCCUAGGCUUUGGGAUAACCCCGGGAAACCGGGGCUAAUACCGGAUAUGACCUGGUGCCGCAUGGUGUUGGGUGGAAAGUUUUUUCGGCCUGGGAUGGGCUCGCGGCCUAUCAGCUUGUUGGUGGGGUGAUGGCCUACCAAGGCGAUGACGGGUAGCCGGCCUGAGAGGGCGACCGGCCACACUGGGACUGAGACACGGCCCAGACUCCUACGGGAGGCAGCAGUGGGUAAUAUUGCACAAUGGGCGGAAGCCUGAUGCAGCGACGCCGUGUGAGGGAUGAAGGCCUUCGGGUUGUAAACCUCUUUCAGCAGGGACGAAGCGUGAGUGACGGUACCUGCAGAAGAAGCGCCGGCCAACUACGUG